GAGAGAUAAGUACGAUGGUGUGCAUCUAGCUUGAAACUAGGAAGAGGGGGUUCGAGUCCCUCAUUUCUUG
rnacentral:tRNA from 1 species